rnacentral:rRNA from 1 species
GAUGAACGCUGGCGGCGUGCCUAAUACAUGCAAGUCGAGCGAACAGACGAGGAGCUUGCUCCUCUGACGUUAGCGGCGGACGGGUGAGUAACACGUGGAUAACCUACCUAUAAGACUGGGAUAACUUCGGGAAACCGGAGCUAAUACCGGAUAAUAUAUUGAACCGCAUGGUUCAAUAGUGAAAGACGGUUUUGCUGUCACUUAUAGAUGGAUCCGCGCCGCAUUAGCUAGUUGGUAAGGUAACGGCUUACCAAGGCAACGAUGCGUAGCCGACCUGAGAGGGUGAUCGGCCACACUGGAACUUAGACACGGUCCAGACUCCCACGGGAGGCAGCAGUAGGGAAUCUUCCGCAAUGGGCGAAAGCCUGACGGAGCAACGCCGCGUGAGUGAUGAAGGUCUUCGGAUCGUAAAACUCUGUUAUUAGGGAAGAACAAAUGUGUAAGUAACUAUGCACGUCUUGACGGUACCUAAUCAGAAAGCCACGGCUAACUACGUG